UACGUAGGUGGCAAGCGUUUGUCCGGAUUUACUGGGCGUAAAGAGCGCGCAGGCGGUUGUCCAAGUCGAAUGUGAAAGCCCCCCGGCUCAACUGGGGAGGGUCAUUCGAUACUGUUCGACUCGAAGGCAGGAGAGGGAAGUGGAAUUCCGGGUGUAGUGGUGAAAUGCGUAGAUAUCCGGAGGAACACCAGUGGCGAAGGCGACUUUCUGGCCUGUUCUUGACGCUGAGGCGCGAAAGCUAGGGGAGCAAACGGG
rnacentral:rRNA from 1 species